rnacentral:rRNA from 1 species
UACGGGGGGGGCAAGCGUUGUUCGGAAUUACUGGGCGUAAAGGGCUCGUAGGCGGCCAACUAAGUCAGACGUGAAAUCCCUCGGCUUAACCGGGGAACUGCGUCUGAUACUGGAUGGCUUGAGUUCGGGAGAGGGAUGCGGAAUUCCAGGUGUAGCGGUGAAAUGCGUAGAUAUCUGGAGGAACACCGGUGGCGAAGGCGGCAUCCUGGACCGACACUGACGCUGAGGAGCGAAAGCCAGGGGAGCGAACAGG